GACGAACGCUGGCGGCGUGCCUAAUACAUGCAAGUCGAACGAGAGCGACCGGUGCUUGCACUGGUCAAUCUAGUGGCGAACGGGUGAGUAACACGUGGGUAACCUGCCCAUCAGAGGGGGAUAACAUCCGGAAACGGAUGCUAAAACCGCAUAGGUCUUCGAGCCGCAUGGCUUGAAGAGGAAAAGAGGCGCAAGCUUCUGCUGAUGGAUGGACCUGCGGUGCAUUAGCUAGUUGGUGAGGUAACGGCUCACCAAGGCCGGGAUGCAUAGCCGACCUGAGAGGGUGAUCGGCCACAUUGGGACUGAGACACGGCCCAAACUCCUACGGGAGGCAGCAGUAGGGAAUCUUCCGCAAUGGACGCAAGUCUGACGGAGCAACGCCGCGUGAGUGAAGAAGGUUUUCGGAUCGUAAAACUCUGUUGUUAGAGAAGAACAAGUGCUAGAGUAACUGUUAGCGCCUUGACGGUAUCUAACCAGAAAGCCACGGCUAACUACGUG
rnacentral:rRNA from 1 species